rnacentral:rRNA from 1 species
AUUGAACGCUGGCGGCAGGCCUAACACAUGCAAGUCGAGCGGAUGAAGGGUGCUUGCUCCUGGAUUCAGCGGCGGACGGGUGAGUAAUGCCUAGGAAUCUGCCUGUUAGUGGGGGAUAACGUCCGGAAACGGGCGCUAAUACGGCAUACGUGCUGAGGGAGAAAGUGUGGGAGCUUCGGACCUCACGCUAUCAGAUGAGCCUAGGUCGGAUUAGCUAGUUGGUGGGGUAAAGGCCUACCAAGGCGACGAUCCGUAACUGGUCUGAGAGGAUGAUCAGUCACACUGGAACUGAGACACGGUCCAGACUCCUACGGGAGGCAGCAGUGGGGAAUAUUGGACAAUGGGCGAAAGCCUGAUCCAGCCAUGCCGCGUGUGUGAAGAAGGUCUUCGGAUUGUAAAGCACUUUAGGUUGGGAGGAAGGGCAGUAAGUUAAUACCUUGCUGUUUUGACGUUACCAACAGAAUAAGCACCGGCUAACUUCGUG